GUGGGGAAUCUUGCGCAAUGGGCGAAAGCCUGACGCAGCCAUGCCGCGUGAAUGAUGAAGGUCUUAGGAUUGUAAAAUUCUUUCACCGGGGACGAUAAUGACGGUACCCGGAGAAGAAGCCCCGGCUAACUUCGUGCCAGCAGCCGCGGUAAUACGAAGGGGGCUAGCGUUGCUCGGAAUUACUGGGCGUAAAGGGCGCGUAGGCGGACAGUUUAGUCAGAGGUGAAAGCCCAGGGCUCAACCUUGGAAUUGCCUUUGAUGCUGGCUGUAUUGAGUACGGGAGAGGUGAGUGGAACUCCGAGUGUAGAGGUGAAAUUCGUAGAUAUUCGGAAGAACACCAGUGGCGAAGGCGACUCACUGGCCCGUUACUGACGCUGAGGCGCGAAAGCGUGGGGAGCAAACAGGAUUAGAAACCCUUGUAGUCC
rnacentral:rRNA from 1 species